GUUCUUUAGUUGACCGCUAGGUGGCCGCGAUGCAGACGUCACCUCAGCCAGCCAGCAGCCAGCUCAAGAUUAGACUGGACAGCAGCACUAAAACAGUGGCAUUAUAAGUCUUUUGGUUAAAAGUCGAGCUGCACUUAGCAGGACUCUCGGGCCGGAAUAGUUGCGCUUGACUGCCCCAGCGCGUUGCCGGCGUCGCGCGAAGCCGGAGAAAGAUCAGCCAGGGGAUCCGUGCAGGAACAUACCACCAGGAGUCCACAACAACAAGCGAAAACGUCUUUCACAGCCCGUAAAAUACUGUGCUAGAGCUCCCUCGCUAUGGAUGACGCGAAUAUGUACUGUGCUCUACUGUCUAGCUCUUUUUAUUAUUAUAUCUCUCCAUCGUUUUUCUCCUGGACGGUUGCUAUGCUGCCCACAUCAGCUGAGGGAUUUGCUGCAUGAUGAAACUGUGUAUUGGCGAUGUUGGAUUCCAGUUCGUCUGGAUCUCAUCAAUCUCAAAGGACUAUAUACCCGACGAAAACGACACAUACCAAAUGCGAUAUUGGAUUAGAUGUAGACUGCUGGAGUACUUCCUAACAUCAAUUGGUGUAGGUAUAUAUACGAAGAAUGCAAUGAACAAAUCGUUAUAGCAUUAUUCUGUAACAGUAAUACUCGAGGUUAUGAUAUUCUUGAGCAUCGUCCAUCUUUUUGAAAAGAUUUCCGCCCCCGACUAUCUCCGUGAUGGCACUACUACAUCAACUGUUGAAAAAGAAGAAGAAG